rnacentral:rRNA from 1 species
UACGUAGGUGGCAAGCGUUGUCCGGAUUUACUGGGCGUAAAGAGCGCGCAGGCGGUCGAUUAAGUCGAGUGUGAAAGCCCCCGGCUCAACUGGGGAGGGUCACUUGAUACUGGUCGACUCGAAGGCAGGAGAGGUAAGUAGAAUACCUGGUGUAGAGGUGAAAUACGUAGAUAUCAGGUGGAAUACCGGAGGCGAAGGCGGGUCUCUGGGCCGAUACUGACGCUGAGGAGCGAAAGCGUGGGGAGCGAACAGG